GAGGGUAUAGCUCAAGUGGUAGAGCACAUGCUUAGCAUGCACAAGGUCCUCGGUUCAAUCCCCAGUACCUCCU
rfam:Camelus ferus unplaced genomic scaffold scaffold598, whole genome shotgun sequence.